GUACCUUUAGGUACAGGUACAGCAAUCUAAGCAGUCAGUGGAUGCGGGGAGUGGUAAACAGCGAGGGGAGGAAAAUGACAGCUGGUGAGUCGGCGAGCUGGCGAGUUUGUUAAUACAAUUUUCCCCUCCAUUGGUUGCUAUCGUCUCCAUAGUGCCGUAAUGUUUAUUAUUACGUGUUGAAAAUUCAAAAGGAACAUUUUCUGCAGAUACCAACGACAGUUUCAGAGUACAGGAUGCUGUGAUUCCAUCACGCGAGAAAUUAAUUGGAAAUAAAACAAAUUCCUAAUGUGAGGAUGACACAGACGAUUGCGUAGCGCAGCUCAUGAUUCGUUCGACUCGAAAAGGACAAUUUCAAUUACGGAGGAUAUUAUGUACCUACUACAGAAAACCAAAUAAAUUCAUCAAUUUCAGAUGCUUCUUCA